GAUGAACGCUGGCGGCGUGCCUAAUACAUGCAAGUCGAGCGAACAGACGAGGAGCUUGCUCCUCUGACGUUAGCGGCGGACGGGUGAGUAACACGUGGAUAACCUACCUAUAAGACUGGGAUAACUUCGGGAAACCGGAGCUAAUACCGGAUAAUAUAUUGAACCGCAUGGUUCAAUAGUGAAAGACGGUUUUGCUGUCACUUAUAGAUGGAUCCGCGCCGCAUUAGCUAGUUGGUAAGGUAACGGCUUACCAAGGCAACGAUGCGUAGCCGACCUGAGAGGGUGAUGGGCCAAACUGGAACUGGGACCCGGUCCAGCUCCCUAGGGGAGGCAGCGGUAGGGAACCUUCGGCAAUGGGGGAAAGCCGGACGGGGCAAGGCGGCGUGAGGGAUGAAGGUCUUCGGAUCGUAAAACUCUGUUAUAGGGAAGAACAAAUGUGUAAGUAACUAUGCACGUCUUGACGGUACCUAAUCAGAAAGCCACGGCUAACUACGUG
rnacentral:rRNA from 1 species